ACAGGAUGUUUCCAUUUCAGUGGAUGAUGGCAUAUGCCAGUAACUACUGUGUCAGUGAUAACACAGCCAACUUAUGAAAGAAGAAGCAGACUUCCUACAAACAGCAGUGAAAAGUGAAAAUCUUUCUUAGCAACUUUGGAUACAGAAUCCAACCGUGGAGCAAGUCAGCAAGUUCUUAAGAGGCAGAAGUUGUGUUGUUUGUUUAGGUUUGAAAGAGUGUAAUUCCUGACCAGAUGCCAUUGUUUUACUCAGGCCUUGGGAAGAUUUGCUAAUUAUCUGUGCAAAUAAAGAAGUCUUGGUCCAGAUGGAGUCAAAUCUCUGAUACCUGGCUUUUGAACCAUAAUGUGGGCUACCAUCAGGUGUGGGCUUGCAGAAAAAUGUAUCAGGGAUGUAGCAAAGGGUAAAGUUUGUAUCUGCUAUUUAAGCAUUGUUCUUUAUCCUUGGUGAUUGCUUCAUGCCACAACUGUAGAAAUGUGUGUCCUAUCUAAUUUGUGUAUUUAUCUUUCUAUUCUGCUGACUAUCUUUUGUAGUUUAAGUAGAAGGGGAUAUUAAACUGUUACUCUUGCUUUUUCUAUUGUUGUAGUUUUAUAAAAUACAAACACCUAAUUUCUCUCUCUCCUGUAUAUCUGAAUCUGUGAUCUGUGGCAACUCAGCUAAUCAGGGCAAAAAUGAACAGCUUUGUUUCAUGAAUUGGAGUGGAAAACUUGUACAACUGCUUGUAAUAGUCUCUUCUGGUCUCCAUCCCCUUGCCAGAUCUCUGAAAAUUUCUUUAAUAAUCACGUUACCUUCAUCUGAUAUUUUCACUUAUUUGGGGAAAAUGAAGAGAAAAAUUUCCUUGGGGAUUUAGUGUCCCCUUCUCAAAUAAUGCAAAGCAGAGUAAUGGGAUGCCAUAACAAACCUAUUUGUUUAAAUGUCCUUAACAGACACCAGGAACACAUUUAAUGAUCUGAAACGAUCACUGUUAGUGAUGGUUCUUGUAAGUCUUAGGGGAUCAUGUGUGCUGUUCACAUUUAAGGGUCAGAUGAAGCUCCCAGACCAGACAGGACUCUGAAGAGA